UACGAAGGGGGCUAGCGUUGUUCGGAAUCACUGGGCGUAAAGGGCACGUAGGCGGCUGUUCAAGUCGGGGGUGAAAUCCCGUGGCUCAACCACGGAAUGGCCUUCGAUACUGGACGGCUCGAGACCGGAAGAGGUGAGUGGAACUGCGAGUGUAGAGGUGAAUUCGUAGAUAUUCGCAAGAACACCAGUGGCGAAGGCGGCUCACUGGUCCGGUUCUGACGCUGAGGCGCGAAAGCGUGGGGAGCAAACGG
rnacentral:rRNA from 1 species